rnacentral:rRNA from 1 species
CGCGGCCUAUCAGCUUGUUGGUGGGGUAACGGCCUACCAAGGCAUCGACGGGUAGCUGGUCUGAGAGGAUGAUCAGCCACACUGGGACUGAGACACGGCCCAGACUCCUACGGGAGGCAGCAGUGGGGAAUCUUGCGCAAUGGGCGAAAGCCUGACGCAGCAACGCCGCGUGCGGGAAGAAGGCCCUCGGGUUGUAAACCGCUUUCAGAAGGAACGAAAAUGACGGUACUUUCAGAAGAAGGUGCGGCCAACUACGUGCCAGCAGCCGCGGUGACACGUAGGCACCAAGCGUUGUCCGGAUUUAUUGGGCGUAAAGAGCUCGUAGGCGGUUCGGUAAGUCGGGUGUGAAAACUUUGGGCUCAACCCAAAGCCUGCAUCCGAUACUGCUGUGACUAGAGUUCGGUAGGGGAGCGGGGAAUUCCUAGUGUAGCGGUGAAAUGCGCAGAUAUUAGGAGGAACACCGGUGGCGAAGGCGCCGCUCUGGGCCGAAACUGACGCUGAGGAGCGAAAGCGUGGGUAGCAAACAGGAUUAGAUACCCUGGUAGUCCACGCCGUAAACGUUGGGCACUAGGUGUGGGUUCCAACCAACGGAAUCCGCGCCGUCGCUAACGCAUUAAGUGCCCCGCCUGGGGAGUACGG